AUGAGGCCGGGAUCCACGUCCCGCCGCCGAGGCCAAAGCACGUUCCAAACUGCUUGGGAGGUUCCAGAAGCUAGAAGGGGGUCGAGGAAGGAUUCCCCCUACAUGUCAGAGGGAGCGUGGCCCUGCCCACACCCGGGAUUGAGGACUUCCGGCCUCCAGAACGGUGGUCAAGUACGGUGGCCCGGGGGGGGGGGGGAACCAACACCAUUGUUGGGCGCCAGUGCCCAAGGACGUCUGAAGGCAGAAGAACAAUCUCACCCGUUUACCUGUUGGAUCCCGUGGGGGACGGGGGUUCCCUUCGCUCCAGGAAACUAGAGCACUGGUCUGUUCCAGAUAAUCUUCACUCUUCCAGUCCUGCCCAUCUGAUUUCAUUUGUCACCACGGAUUUCCCUCUGACACGUCUCUCCAGAGGACCAGCUGCCGGUGGCCCACGAGAGAACACGUUUGCCGUAAUCCCUGCCGUGCUGGAGGCAGACGAGAGCACGGGCUUGGAGUAUAAGAACUCAGACUUGAUCUCUGGCUGCUACUGACUACUGUUGUGUGACUCGGGGAAGGCAAUUUAUCACCUGUAGGCCCUAGUUUCCCCUUUUGUGACAUGGAGGAAUUUGCACCUACCUCACGGGAUGGUGGUUAGGAUGAGAUGAAAUCAUGCAGAGAAGCACUUUAGCAGAGAGCCCGGCACACGAAAUGGUCCAAGAGCAGGUAGCAGGUAUUAUUUUUAUUAUUUUACUUGAAACAACUCGAGAUUUGCAGGAUACCUUUUUUUUUUUUUUUCUUACUACUGCUCUAUUGCGUUCAUGAGGAUGCUCGUUUGUUUCCUCUCAAGUAAGACUGGUGUGGUAGCUGGCAUUGAUCAUCGCUGAAGGGUCCCAAUCCAUCUAAAGUCAUGAGGGACCCGGGCUCUUCCUGUCAUAUCUAUCAGCAUCCCGGGGGUGUUGCUGUUAUCCGUUUGGUCCAGACAGUGUACCAGUGCAUCCCAGGACAGCCAGCAGGGAGGGGCUAUGGGAAAAUAGGAACAUUUCCUGGAAGAGGCCCAUAUUCCAUCGGCCAGAACUUGGACACAUGACCGCAUCAGGCUGCAGCGUAGCCUUGAUCCCAAGCAGCCGAUGGAAAAUGGGUGUUCAACUCAGAGAAGCGGAGGGUGGAACUUGGGACAGCUGGCCGUCUCAAUCCCAAUCAAACAUCAGUGCACAGAUGGUGGUCAACCAAAUAUGGUUAAUGCUUUAUGAUUUUCUUUACUAUUAUAAUGAUGAUUUAAUAUUUGAUAUUGCCAGAAUAUCUCUUGUCUUAAACAAAGAGAACAGUUUUCAUAGCA
rnacentral:lncRNA from 1 species